rnacentral:rRNA from 1 species
ACGGGAGGCAGCAGUGGGGAGUAUUGGACAAUGGGCGAAAGCCUGAUCCAGCAACGCCGCGUGAGUGAAGAAGUGGUUCUUCCACGUAAAGCUCUAUCAAUAGGGAAUAUAAUGAAGGUACCUAAAUAAGAAGUCCCGGCUAACUACGUGCCAGCAGCCGCGGUAAUACGUAGGGGACAAGCGUUAUCCGGAUUUACUGGGUGUAAAGGGAGCGUAGAUGGAAUAGCAAGUUUGAAGUGAAAUACCUGGGCUUAACCCAGGAAUUGCUUUGAAAACUGUUAAUCUAGAGUACUGGAGAGGUAUGGGGAAUUCCUAGUGUAGUAGUGAAAUGCGUAGAUAUUAGGAGGAACACCGGAGGCGAAGGCGCCAUACUGGACAUGUACUGACAUUGAGGCUCGAAAGCGUGGGGAGCAAACAGGAUUAGAUACCCUGGUA